UAUGGCUUAAAAAAGGCUCAGAAAAACGUUUUUUGAACCAUAUCCACGUUUUAUCCUUUUGGAUACCCUUUUGGAUAAAACACAUUCCGAAACCAAAAAUCAACACAUCACGCAUUAGAAUCAUAUCAUUUUCACCCACCACAAAGCACACAUACCAAAUUCAACUAACAUUCACACUGUUCCUAGACGAAAUAAUCAACAGAUUUUUUCGCGCAAAACAUGUAUAAUUCAUCAAAGGAACAGAAAUGAAUAUUUAUAUGCGAGCACGUAGUUCCAAGACCAGCUAGCGGGGUCGAAACGUGCUUUCCCGGUUAUGCUUGGAGCCUGAUGAGAACAUAACCUUAGUUUUGAACACAAAACACAUGGGACUUGACCUGGGUGGCGAUACAUUGGCAUUCACUCAGGUCUUGGCAUCAUCACAAUACAUCUCACAUUAUAAACGCACCCGGGUUAUGCCUGCGCGAUCUUCACAAAAACAAUCAAUCGAGUCAUACACGUCACAGUUUUACUAUUCAUGUCUCAUUUUAGCUUGAAUGUUCAGACUUAUGUAUCACUUAAAUUUCAUAUCAUUUUACAACUCAUAUAUCACCAGUAUCAUCACUUUAUAUCUAUGUUAUAAAUCAAGCUUCACCAACAUCAUCACAGUCCAUGCAUCAUCAUAACAUAAUUCACUAAAAUCAUCAUUAUGUAUAACCAUUCCAAUUCUAUCAGUCACACUGAAUCGAAAUUUCAUUUCAUUUCACUCCACACAUCAUUUGAUGUUCACCCAAUAGAAUGUUCCAACAGGUCCAGCAGGGCCAUUUCACAGCAUUCCAGGAUCUGAAUACCUGCAACCACCUUUUUGAUCCAAUUCUAAAAAACAAACAACAAAACGCGGAUAUGGCUUAAAAAUGCUGGGAAAACGGUUUUUGGACCAUAUCCGCGUUUUAUCCUUUUGGAUAAAACGCGGAUAUGACUUAAAAAAGGCUGG